rnacentral:rRNA from 1 species
AUUGAACGCUGGCGGCAGGCCUAACACAUGCAAGUCGAGCGGCAGCGGGAAAGUAGCUUGCUACUUUUGCCGGCGAGCGGCGGACGGGUGAGUAAUGCCUGGGAAAUUGCCCAGUCGAGGGGGAUAACAGUUGGAAACGACUGCUAAUACCGCAUACGCCCUACGGGGGAAAGCAGGGGACCUUCGGGCCUGGCGCGAUUGGAUAUGCCCAGGUGGGAUUAGCUAGUUGGUGAGGUAAUGGCUCACCAAGGCGACGAUCCCUAGCUGGUCGGAGAGGAUGAUCAGCCACACUGGAACUGAGACACGGUCCAGACUCCUACGGGAGGCAGCAGUGGGGAAUAUUGCACAAUGGGGGAAACCCUGAUGCAGCCAUGCCGCGUGUGUGAAGAAGGCUUUCGGGUUGUAAAGCACUUUCAGCGAGGAGGAAAGGUUGAUGCCUAAUACGUAUCAACUGUGACGUUACUCGCAGAAGAAGCACCGGCUAACUCCGUGCCAGCCGCCGCGGUAA